UGUGUGUGUAUGAGUGUGUGUGGGUGUGUGUGUGUGAGUGUGCGCACACACACACUCAAACUCAUACACACACUCA